UUGCAGUUUCUCAGACUGCUGAAAUCAGACUCUAAUCUCUGCCUCUUCUAAGCACUGACUGGGUUCUGCAGAAGUUGUCUGAACGAACGGUCGCCUCUUGAUAUCUGAGGCAUUUUCUGACUGAUGCAGUGUGAUUCCAUUGCAGUUUUAAACCUGUGUAUAAACAUAGACAUCCAACUGCUGUAACUGAAUCUCCCUUUUUUUUGGUUUUAAACUGGUUGGUAACUAACCGUGCCUCAGCCUGUUUUAAAGGGGAACUGCAGAGGAAGAAACUGACCUUAGGCGAUAGCCCCAAAAUUUAAACAAGCUUCUACUGCUCCUCAUUAGGAAUAUCAGAUCUUUGCUGGCAUGUGUAAGAGAGGGCUGGAGAUGAGGUGGGAUGAACAAGCCCUGUAAUCUGAGGAACAUUAAAAUCUUACUGCCUGUGUUAAAGGUUUAAAUUCCAACUGCUGAAGUAGUUGGGAUAAAAACUCUGAACUGGCACCCCCUUCUGUUCUGAACCUCCAACACAGUGAAGAUCUGAGCUUUCUAAUGUAAAUGGGUAUAAAAUCUCCGUUCUGCAGUUGCCCUCUAAUGCAGACGAGUGCUGCUGCUGCUUCCUACAGCUGCCUAAAAUUAUAGCUUUAGUUUCCUUCUGUUUGCUGCGUUGCAGAACACGGGAGUUAUUGAGAGCUCCCAGUUCUUAUUCUUCUGUUAUUUCAAAUCAGAAGGCAUUCACUUGUGAUCUCAAUUCUCUGAUAAAGAGCAACUUAGCCCCAUGGUAACUGUUUGAAGCAGGCCUGUCUCUAAAUCAUGUUGGCAUAUUUCUAACAUCUCUUAAGCUGAAUGAUUAUGAAGUGUAUUAAUGUGGAAUGCAAAAAAAAAAAGUUUUAGUUCCGUUGGGUUUUAUGUGGCUGAGUUUGCAAUAGCAGGUGGAUCCUAAACUUAUUGAGGGAGACAAGAGACCUCAGGAUUCAUGGAGUAUACUCUUGGCAUGGCUUGAUAACGUUGAGGACAUGGUAGCAUACCACAACAGAGGAAGGCACUCCAGGAGCCAAGAACUAAGUAGCUUAAAGAUCCAGGAGACAUGCAGAUGUUGAGCUACUAGGAGCUGCUAGCAAGCAUAGCACGAAUGGCUUCGAGUUCAGACACUUCUACAGCUGAGAGAGAGUAGACACUUGUGUGUGGAGUCCAGUGUACACAGAUAAGCCAGGUGCAGGCUCUGCACUCUAGGAGGGAGUGGAGUAUCAGUGACCAUCGAAGGAGGCAGACAAGAGUAAAGAUCCUUGCUCUUAGGACUAGCAGUCAGAUCCAGAAGGCAAGGUUUUAUUACUGUGCUUGUAGGUAAGAACAGAUUUUACUUAUGUCCGUAUGGUUUUGCCUGAAAUUAAUUUGUCAAGUACUUUGCUAAAGCUUUGUGUAAUGAACCCAAGUAGUCAGGCUAGCUGUCUUGAAAUCUACAAGAUGGGCUGCUUUUUAAACUUGCCCGGUGCUGUAAGUGCAAGCACCAGAUGGCUGGAAUAUAGUGACUUUAAAUUACUCGGUCACUGGCCUGAAAGUAAUGCUCGCCAACCUAUUUGUGGCACGUUCAUUCUCAAGUCACUGCCUCUCAUUCUAUUGCCAUUAUUAUUGGAGCUGCUUAAUGUUUACCCACUUGCUUAGCACUGCAGUCCAGAUUCUGUAAACUGCCUUAGUGCACUGUCAGUGCCUUUCAGAGGGCACUCAAAUUGGCCAGCAAUUAACUCUUUAAAUUGCAAUGGGGUGGUCAUGCAGGGUAGCUUUUAAAUGUCCUGGGGAGCAGCUAUGCUGGAGAAUCUAAUGUGUGCCUUCACUUUUAUAGGAGGAAAUGCCCAGUGCUAAGCCUGCCCUCUAAACUAGAGGACUCCAUGUACGUCUGCAGUGGCUGCUUUUAAAAGCCGGAAGCCCAGUCGAUGUCUCCGUGGCGAGUCGCAGAGCUGCUGUGUAGCUGUGUUCACUGGUUCAUAUUUGAACGCAUCUUUUUAAAUAAAGAUUUUAUAUUUUUUUUACACUAAAGCU